GACGAACGCUGGCGGCGUGCUUAAUACAUGCAAGUGGAGCGACGAACCAGGCUUCGGCCUGGGGCAGAGCCGCGAACGGGUGAGUAACACGUGGGUAACCUGCCUCGAUGACCGGGACAACCCGGGGAAACCCGGCUAAUACCGGAUGUGCUGUCCCCACAUCAGUGGAGACAGGAAAGGAAGCUUCGGCCUCCGCAUCGAGAUGGGCCCGCGGCCCAUUAGCUUGUUGGUGUGGAACGGCUCACCAAGGCUGCGAUGGGUAGCUGGUCUGAGAGGACGAUCAGCCACACUGGGACUGAGACACGGCCCAGACUCCUACGGAGGCAGCAGUAGGGAAUCUUGCGCAAUGCGCGAAAGCGUGACGCAGCAACGCCGCGUGGGGGAAGAAGGCCUCGG
rnacentral:rRNA from 1 species